AUAAACACAAAAUAUUUAAGUCUAAGCACAAAAUGUAAUCAAAGAACGAGAGCCCUUCGAUUAACCUUGGACACAGCGUUAUGUUCCAAAGCCACCCUUUCUCACAGAUCGCAAAUCAUAAACAUAGACACUUGUCGCCUUAUCAUAAACAUAGACACUUGCCGCCUUUAAAACACAGACUCUCGUCCCAUAAUCAUUUGCAUUCGACCACUUGGCGAGCCAACUGAAAUAAUAAACUUUCGCGAUCGGCGCCUACGCCUACGCACUUGUCCCAGGAUUCUCCAAUUACCCCUAUUCUUCAGAAGACUCUCUUCCAACAAGAAAAUAGAGGUUUACAACCCAACUCUCUUAAACUUCGCUCUUUGGCUUCCCCAAAUUGCCUAUAAAACAGCAAGCAUGCCUCCAUGCAGCAGUUCAGUACUGAGUACGUUAUCAACCGCGAUAACACCGCUUAAGCCAAUUUAACUUUCCAAUUUCGUGAUAAUCAAAUGGCUCUAGUUCUUUCCAUAAAUGCAAUUAAUAAAAAGGAUUAAUAAAAUAUAAAACUCAAUCGUGUGUUUUUUUAUCAAACCCUCGGUCUGAAUUCGUAAAUAUAUAUAUAAAUAUAUAUUAAAAUAAAAGUUAAAAUAAAAUAUAUAUUAUAUAUAUAAUAUAUACAACAAAAAAAUAUUAUAUAUAUGUGGCUUUAAAAUGUAAAAAUAAAACUUAGAAUAUUGGAGAUCGAAGAGAUUUCCAUUCGAAAAUGGAAAUCGAAUUAAAACUUUAAAAUAAUGGCUAUCAAAAUAAUUUCUUAAUAUAAAAUAGUGAACUUUGUGUGUAUAUGGACCAUAAUAUACACGCGUUGCGAAUAUGUAUUGUUCAUCCUAGUUAUGGGCAUACGUUGGCUAAUGCAACAACCUAAAAUAUACAAUGUUGUACCUGGUACCCAUCAGGUUAAUGUUUUAUAUAAAUUGCAGUAUGUAUCGCCCAAACAUAGUUAAAUAUAAACCGUUAAUAACCAGAUUAUAUGAUACAUAACUGUGCGUAGUAGCUGGUUUCUUCCGAAGUUUCCCUCAGGAUAGCUGGUGCAUUUUAAUAUUAUAUAAAAUUAUCUUAUCUGGUAAAGCUAAUGAUUAGAGGCCUUAUGAUCGAAACGAUCUUAACCUAUUCUCAAACUUUAAAUGGGUAAGAGCCCUAACUUUCUUGAUAUAAAGUUCAAGGUUAUGAUAUAAUGUGCCCAGUGGGCCACUUUUGGUAAGCAGAACUGGCGCUGUGGGAUAAACCAAACGUAAUGUUACGGUGCCCAAAUUAACAACUCAUGCUGAUACCAUGAAAAGCGUUAGUUGCUUAAUACAGCAGGACGGUGAUCAUGGAAGUCGAAAUCCGCUAAUAACUCACUUGCCGAAGCAACUAGCUCUUAAAAUGGAUGGCGCUUAAGUUGUAUACCUAUACAUUACCGCUAAAGUAGAUGAUUUAUAUUACAUGUGAUAUACAUUUUGAAAUUUUAGUUUGGCGUAAGCCUGCAUGGAGCUGCCAUUGGUACAGAUCUUGGUGGUAGUAGCAAAUAAUCGAAUGAGACAUUGGAGGACUGAAGUGGAGAAAGGUUUCGUGUGAACAGUGGUUGAUCACGAGUUAGUCGGUCCUAAGUUCAAGGCGAAAGCCGAAAAUUUUAAAGUAAAACAAAAAUGCCAAAUUAUAUAAACAAAGCGAAAAUAAUACACUUGAAUAAUUUUGAACGAAAGGGAAUAUGGUUCCAAUUCCGUAACCUGUUGAGUAUCCGUUUGUUUUAAAUAUGGGCCUCGUGCUCAUCCUGGCAACAGGAACGACCAUAAAGAAGCAGUCGAGAGAUAUCGGAAGAGUUUUCUUUUCUGUUUUAUAGCCGUACUACCAUGGAAGUCUUUCGCAGAGAGAUAUGGUAGAUGGGCUAGAAGAGCAUGACAUAUACUAUUGUGUCGAUAUUUUCUCCUCGGACCUUGAAAAUUUAUAAAGGGGACACGCAAACUUCUCAACAGGCCGUACCAAUAUCCGCAGCUGGUCUCCAAGGUGAAGAGUCUCUAGUCGAUAGAAUAAUGUAGGUAAGAAAAGUCGGCAAAUUAGAUCCGUAACUUCGGGAUAAGGAUUGGCUCUGAAUAUUGAGAUAGUCGGGCUUGAUUGGGAAACAAUAACAUGGUUUAUGUGCUCGUUAUGGGUAAAUAGAGUUUCUAGCAUUUAUGUUAGUUAUGGUAUGUAUUAUGUUUUUUCGCCGGCCGAAGAGCAGUAAUCCGAAGCAGUGAAUGUGCCGGUAACUAGAGGUUGCCCGCAGGGGUCAAUCAGCGGCCCAUUUAUUUGGGACAUGCUGAUGGAUGUACUGCUUCAGCGCCUCGAGCCGUAUUGCCUGCUAAGUGCAUACGCGGAUGACCUGCUUCUCCUGAUCGAUGGAAAUUCCCGAGCCGUGCUAAAGGAAAAAGGAGAGCAACUGAUGUCCAUCGUUGAAACGUGGGGAGCGGAAAUAGGCGUUGCCGUUUCGACCAGCAAGACGGUAAUAAUGCUGCUCAAAGGUGCCUUGAAACGUGCGCCUACGGUAAGAUUCGCUGGAGAGAACCUUCAAGGACAUUGCCAGGUAGGGGUUUGACUGGGGCGGUACAUCUCUCAAAUAAUAACGGAGGUGUCCCAAGGCCAGCUCUGUGCGGACAGAAACCAAACAUAGAGCAAUAGGGCAAAUGCUGACUUGAUCUCGGUGUUCAGUACACACAGGGACAGCAAAAGCUCGGCCUAUCGAUCCUUUUGGUUUAACAAGUUUUUAACAAGAGGUGUAAGAAAAAGAAAACUUACCAUAGGGAUAACUGGCUUGCUUGGCCAAGCGUUCAUAGCGACGUCGCUUUUGAUUGAUGUCAUCUCUUCCUAUCAUUGGGAAGCAAAAUUCACCAAGCGUUGGAUUGUUCACCCAUGCAAGGGAACGUGAGCUGGUUUAGUUAGUUAGUUAGAUAGUAGACAGGUUAGUUUUACCCUACUAAUGACAAAACGUUGUUGCGACAACAUUCCUGCGUAGUACGAGAGCAACCGCAGGUACGGACCCAUGGCACAAGACUUGUUUGAGCGAACAGUGGUAUGACGCUACGUCCGUUGGAUUAUGCCUGAACGCCUCUAAGGUCGUAUCCGUGCUGGACUGCGAUGAUAAAUAAGGGGCAAUUUGCAUUGUAUGGCUUCUAAGCCAUUUAAAGUUUAUAAUUUACUUUAUAAACGGCAAUGGAUGUGAUGCCAAUGUAAUUUGUAAAAUAGUAAAUUGGGAGGAUCUUCAAUCACCUGAUGCUGCGCUAGUUACAUAUAAAAGCAUUAUUUAAUAUAA
rnacentral:rRNA from 1 species